AGCCUCGGCCAAUCAACGGGCGAACCUGGGCUGAGUGACGGGGAAGAGGCGCGGGUGUUUAGAGGGAAAACCUGGGCAAGGCGGGGCGCGCGCCGGGUUUCCCGCGGUCGGAGGAGAAUCGCUCUUAAAGGGCCAGCCUUCUCGCGUCCUUUUGUUCCGGGGCCGCAGGGCGGGGUAGGCCCAACGUUUUCUGUCUCCUAGUCUAUUCUCCAGAACGGCCAUGAUUUCCCAGUUCUUCAUUCUGUCCUCCAAGGGGGACCCGCUCAUCUACAAGGACUUCCGCGGAGACAGCGGCGGCCGGGAUGUGGCCGAGCUCUUCUACCGGAAGCUGACGGGACUGCCUGGAGACGAGUCUCCGGUUGUCAUGCACCACGAUGGCCGGCACUUCAUUCACAUCAGACACAGCGGUCUCUACUUGGUGGCCACUACUUCAGAAAACAUUUCUCCCUUCAGCCUCCUGGAGCUGCUCUCCCGGCUGGCCACUCUCCUGGGUGACUACUGUGGCUCCCUAGGGGAGGCGACCAUCUCUCGCAACGUGGCUCUGGUCUACGAACUCCUGGAUGAAGUGCUGGACUAUGGCUACGUACAGACCACAUCCACGGAGGUGCUGAGGAACUUCAUCCAGACAGAGGCUGUGGUCAGCAAACCCUUCAGCCUCUUUGAUCUCAGCAGCGUUGGCUUGUUUGGGGCCGAGACACAACAGAGCAAAGUGGCCCCCAGCAGUGCAGCCAGCCGGCCUGUCCUGUCCAGCCGCUCUGACCAGAGUCAAAAGAACGAAGUGUUUUUGGACGUGGUCGAGAGAUUAUCCGUGCUGAUAGCCUCUAAUGGCUCGCUGCUCAAGGUGGAUGUGCAGGGAGAGAUCCGGCUCAAGAGCUUUCUGCCCAGCGGCUCAGAGAUGCGCAUCGGCUUGACUGAGGAGUUUUGUGUGGGGAAGUCCGAACUGAGAGGCUAUGGGCCAGGAAUUCGGGUGGAUGAGGUCUCCUUUCACAGCUCAGUGUACCUGGAUGAGUUUGAAUCUCAUCGGAUCCUCCGUCUGCAGCCCCCUCAGGGUGAGCUGACUGUGAUGAGGUACCAACUCUCAGAUGACCUCCCCUCCCCGCUCCCCUUCCGGCUCUUUCCGUCUGUGCAGUGGGACCGAGGCUCAGGCAGGCUCCAGGUUUAUUUGAAGUUACGUUGCGACCUGCCCCCAAAAAGCCAGGCUCUCAACGUCAGGCUGCACCUUCCCCUGCCUCGAGGGGUGGUCAGCCUGUCUCAGGAGCUGAGCAGCCCAGAGCAGAAGGCAGAACUGGCGGAGGGAGCCCUUCGCUGGGACCUGCCUCGGGUGCAAGGAGGCUCUCAGCUCUCAGGCCUCUUCCAGAUGGACGUCCCGGGCCUCCCUGGGCCUCCCGGCCAAGGCCCCUCCGCCUCGGCUCCCCUAGGGCUGGGCCCUGCCAGCCUCUCCUUUGAGCUUCCCCGGCACACGUGCUCUGGCCUCCAGGUCCGCUUUCUCAGGCUGGCGUUCAGACCCUGCGGCAGCGCCAGCCCGCACAAGUGGGUGCGACACCUAAGCCACAGCGACGCUUACGUCAUUCGGAUCUGAAGCUCCCAAACGAGGGCAUGGGAGGCAGAGGUGGCGGUCAGGGCAUCGCAGAAGGACGGCGUUUUCUCUCCUAGUGUCCUGGCCUGGGACUGGAAGAGUCCUGAGUCCUCGAGAUCAGUGAGCUCAACAAGGCUCCCCUCCCAGGGCCUAACAUCGUGUCCCAGCUCUGCCAGGCCUGCGAUGGAGCCGUAGCGUGUUGUCCACGGGGUCUUCUCGUCCACCCAACUCUGUAAGGGGAUGGAAAAUAAACCCAAAUGAAGGGGUGUGAAAAGCUAA